GAGAGUCACUUACAACCGGUAGAGAAUGGUGGUCUUUCCUGCAUUGUCCAGUCCCACGAUGAUAACCUUGUGCUCUGGAAGCAUCGGAGGAAGGGCAGCGUCAGGGCCAAACCCGAUGACCGAGGGACUGUGUGCCCCCACCAGACCUCCCAGUAAGGAGAUGGCGCUCCCCGCAGGCUGGGGACCUCUGCCCGCCGUACCGCGUCUGCUUCCCACCCAGCCCCGACACCUGCCCCACUCCGGGACAGUGGAAAAGACAGCUGAGCCCUCACCUCCCUUCACAUUCUAGAAAAGUGUCUGAAAGGCCCAGGGCGCCUCUGGGCUUGCCAAGAGACGGUGUCUGGAGAAAGAGUCUAACGCGAAGUCACAAUCGCAGGAAACCCGCAGCAGCCCCCCAUCCCCGCCGCUGGCGCCGUUUAGCGGGGAGAAAGGAGGCUCGCCCAGCUUUGCGUCCUGGGGCGCACCGAAGCGCGGGGACCCAAGAGGAGCAGGCAGGGACGGGGACAGGGGAGGCCGCGGGGCAGUCGAGGAGCGCCCAUAUACGACCCUCGGAGCCCGAGGUCCCCCCAUGCGUCCGACCACAGAUCAGAGGAAUCCCAGAAGAGAGCGAGAUCAAAGCGCUCGCUUGGAUGCCCUGUGCGCGCCCCUUACCCUGGUUCCCGAAGAUGCUCAUUAACUUGGCGAUCAGCUGUCCCAUGGCACUUCCUGGGCCGGACAGGUGCAGGAAGGCUCAGCGGCCUCAGGAGCGGAGUCGGCCCUGGUCCUCGGAGCUCCGUUCCCCCUGGGAGGGUCUGGCAGGUUUUGCCUAUGAAGUUAGGGAAACCCCACGCGUCACCAACCUGACCUGGGAACCCUCUGGGACGCUGGCCCUUCGCGGGCGCUAUGGACACCCCAGUGACUAAGUGCUGCCUGUCCCGGGCCCGAGAGGUGCAAGAGAUAUGGAGGUUCCAGGCUCCAGCCCUCCCCCUCGCCCUGCGAAAACUCCAGAGUUCUCUGGGUGGACUGCUCCACCACCGCAAAUCAGGGGAGACUCAGCACUGCGCGCGGAACCGGAUCCCAGCUCUCCCUCCUCUGAGUGCCGUGUCUAGGGCAUUAGACUCAAGCAAAACCCCAGGCGACCCGCUUUCUGUACCUACCAGCUAUGUAGUACAGACAGGGCUCACCGAUCCUCUCUGAGCUGGGAGAAUAUUCCAACCCUCCACAGAUCUGCAGUCGGUUCACUAGCGUGGGUCUUGUGGGCCCACUCAAAGUGCGUUCCCCUGGGGAAGGGCAGGGUCUCCCCUUGAUGCUUGGCAACUUCUAGGAUAAAUCAGUGCUCCUACAAUUCACGGACAAACCCACUGCCCAGGCACAGCUUCCUGAUCCCCAAAAGUGGGCGCCUGAAGACAAGGAUGGAGCAUGAAGAGAGGUCCUCCAGCUGGAGACCCCGCAGAGAGGCCCCAGAUACCUGGCAGAGGAGUACAUGGGCCAACAGAGAACCAGGAGGCCAGGCCUGAGGAGGGAAUGGAAGGCGGAGUUUCCUGUUGUUGCUUGUGAAUUUCUUUCUUUGCUUAAGCUGGGGGAGAAAAAAAAAACAAAAAACAGAUAACAAAAGGAAAAGUCCAAAAGGCAACGUGCCCUCAGGCUGCAGGAAUGGUUAGCAGGAGAUCCAGCCAACACACCAGGGAGCCAGCUCCUUCCACCCCACUGCACUGCCUUCCUACAGCUUCCACUAAGGGGGCACCCGAUCUUCAACAGAUGUGAGGACAUAUGAACUCUCAGGGCAACUAUGGCCAACAGCCGUGAACAGUGAGUCACCGCUUCCUCAGUGCAGGUCAUUAAUGCUAUCUUGGGGUUAAUCAUCAUUAACAGCUCAGUAUUGCCACUCAUUAGUGGUUGACUGGGUUAGUCAUUGCCUUUGGUUUUCCAAAUAUAUUAACGGGAUUUCAGCUCAAACCUGCUGACCCUGGCUGCUUCGACCCACACCAAACCCCAAUCUCAGGCUUCCAGAACUCCAUGCUUCUCCCACCAUUCCCUAGUCAGAUGACACCAUCUCCAAGGCUGAUGGGAUUCCUCCCUUGCCCCCAACAAGCACUCAAAGCAGCAAGCUGGGGAAGGCUGCUGGGUCUCCCCUCCUACUGAAGAUGAAGAGGUGGCCCAGUGUCCUCAUCGCCAAAUGUCACGUGGAGGUGGGGCACAAGAGGGGUUCCAGUCCCUCCCCUGCCAUGUCAAGCUGUGUGACCCUAAGCAAACAGUUCCCCUCUCUGUGACCUCGUUUAUUGGUUGUAAUGUGACGGGGGUUAGACCUAAGCAGCAGUUUCCAAACUGUUACCUAGAGAUCUGGGGUGGGGUUGGGUGGGGAGGGCACAGAAGUGCUUCAGGGGACCCCAUGGAGGUGGAGGGGAGGCCAUUCCCCUGGCUCCCUCAGGGCAGAGCAAGGAUGCAUUAUCUACAUCCUCAGUUUCCACAUAAGAUUCAUUGAACAAAUGGGCUCUGUUACUGAAAACAAAUUUGAAAGCUACGGUCUAGAAUGAUUUCAUGGGUUUCUCCUGGCUCUUAGGACCUUAUACUUAAUGGUGUGCAAUCAAGAGGUGGGCUGUGGCUCCCAUGGGAGGACGGCAAGGCAGGAUGGGUCUCCCAUGGGAGGUCCUUUCCUGGACUUUAACUGGGAGAAUGGUGGAAGGUUCAGCAUCAAGUCAUAGAAGAUGCCACAUUCUUGGUCCCUCUUGAGGGGCCUUGUGGAGUCAGGGCUGCAGGGAGGGAGAGUCCAGGUUUAACGUAGGUUUCCCUGGCUCUGAAGGCCCCUGCUCUGUUGGGUCUAAAAAGGGUGUGGAGUCCAGCGAAUGAGUUUAUCAGUCUUCCUCGCAUGUCCUUCCUAGUCCUUUGUCUUAAAAGUGCUCCCAUCAGGCCUCAUAUCCAGCAGGCAGCAGAUGCGGUCCUAUGGCACCAGGCUCAGGAAGACGGCACCAGAAGCCCCAGACCCAUCAAAAACCACAGACACCAGAAGCUGCCGCUCAACAUAUUUUUUUUACAAAAUAAAGCUCUUCCCUUCCUCC